UAUACUAUAUCAAUAUCUGAAAGAAGAACACUGUAGCCCAACUGCAAAAAUUCCCUCAAAAUACGGAACUUCAAUGCAGAGACAGCAUGGUUGCCUCCUGUUCUUGCAACUGAAUCAAUACCUUCAUCUGGAUCUCUCUUGUAUACAGGAACAUCAUUUGACUUGCAGAACUCUACAAUAUGAUCAUCUAAUGCUAUAACCAGGUAAUUGGGUAUACCAACUCUCUUAAUGUUAGUGAACCAGACCUCUAACAUGCUUUUCACAUUUGAAUUUGCAAGUGCAACUAUCAGCUCCAUACCAACCGCAACAUCCUCCAAGAUUUUUGC
rnacentral:misc_RNA from 1 species